AGAGCACUCUAAAAAAAGUUUUACUUGUUGUUUUUAAAAUAAGAUAUUAGAUUAAGAAAAACUAGCCCAUGGGCCACAUCGCUCACCUGAGAAGCUUUGACCACUCUGUUCUUUACCAGAUUUCACCCUUGUUAUACAUAAUGCAUCCCCACCCUACCCCACUGAUCAUAAUUUAGACAUUUUGAAAUCUACACUACCCCAUGAUCCUUCCAUGGGCACAUAUGUUUCAGCUUUUUUGGCCCAGUGGUUCCUGAGAAGAAGAUUUUCAAAGAUUUUUCCUAUAUAUUUCUAUGUAAAACUUUGAUUCCCUAUAAUGGCCCCGCCCUUCCCCCGGGGGUCAUGAUUCCUACAAUUUAGAAUUUACACUACCCCAGAAUGCUUCCACAUAAGCUUCACUUUUUCUGGCCCAGUGGUUCUUGAGAAGAAAAUUUUCAAAGAUUUUUCC